rnacentral:lncRNA from 1 species
AGAGGCAUGAUAUAUGGAGUUGCCCAAAUAUCUAUCACCAUUCAAGCAUAUCAUGUCAGUGACUAAUCCACACACAACAAGAAAUUCCUAAAAUUUGUAUCUAUAUUCUACUUUUACUUGAUAUGGAGUUGCCCAAAUGUAGUUUAUUAGUGAUCAUUUAAGUAUUUUGUUCUUUUCUCCCAGAUUUAUUAAUUCAUAUAUGCCAAAACAGUCUUGGAAUACAUGUAGAACUAGGAUUUUAUAGUUUUUGUAACAACAACUGAUUGGAAAAUGGAUUUUGCUGUAGUUACUUACUGUGAUAUCGUAGUAGCAUAUGAAAUACAUGUUUUAAUAACAACUAAGAGUCCUAUUUUUCAUAACAGUACCACUACAUUGGGAAGGGGCUUGG